rnacentral:tRNA from 1 species
GGCGAGAUGGCCGAGCGGUCUAAGGCGCCAGACUAAGGUUCUCGUGACACUUCUAUCUGGUCCGAAAGGGCGUGGGUUCGAAUCCCACUCUCGUCA